AAGUCGUAACAAGGUUUCCGUAGGUGAACCUGCGGAAGGAUCAUUACUACUUGCUUAUGGCCAUCGAGGGGGGAAACCCCCUUAGCGGUACGGUAAUACCUACCCUUGACUAUAUAUACCUUUCGUUAUUUCCCUCGGCAGGGCAACCCACUGCUAGGGACAUUAAAACCCUCUUGUAUCAAGUAUCAAAACUUCUAAAAUAAACCUAAAAUAUAAUAACUUUCAACAAUGGAUCUCUUGGUUCUA
rnacentral:misc_RNA from 1 species